AGAGACGCGCAAAGGACCGCUUUUCACGAUCCCUUUGGGGUCGCUUUUUGCAGCCUUCUUCCCCUUCUUAGGGGACAUGCUGUAGGGAAAGUCCCCGGACACAUCUUUUACAUUGGAGAGACUUCUGCGAAGAAAUAGCUAGUUAUACAUCCUUCUUCCCAACGUGGUAACGUACGGAUUCCCUUCUCUGCACCGUACGACGUUAAGGCUUUCACUCUAUCUUCUUUCUCAACACCAUCUGCGCAUCUUCGAAGCUCGAGUGAAGAUGGGAAGCAAUCACAGCACGAUCAGAGACCAUAUCAAAGGAAAGCGACCGUCCGCCAUAAUGGCACGAGUCUGUAUAAUGGCCAUCAUGCUUGCGGCCCCCCUUUUCUCUUCUUCGUCAUGCGCAUUAAGGAUGGUUGUUAGGUUUGCAGAGAUGGUGUGAGUUGUUGUGCACCGUGCCGAUUUGGGCUUUCUGGAGAUCGUUGGCUGAGGGGUUGUUGUCGGCAUGUUUUACUCCGUUUACAGUCUUCUCCGUUAUCGCUCAUUUCUGUGGUGGUUGGCGAGAAGAGUACGGAAAAAGUGUUUUACAGGACGGGUUUCAGAUUCGCCCUUUUCGGGUAAUGUCUUGGGUUAGGAAUCGUUCUAUCCUCUCGUCCAGGUCUUUUUCUUCCCACAGUUCGAAGGAUGGGAGGUGAUGCGCGAAGAUAAGAGCGCAUUACCUCACUCCAGGCCAUCCCUUCUAUUCCGCUGUUGGCGAAGAACUAGCUUGUUCUAUGUCGAUGUUCGGUUCUGUCUGACCCUGAUACUAGAUUCUGGACCGGAUUCGGUUUAAUGCUUCAUCUGGUGAAUUCUCUUCAACCUGCUUUCAAUAGCAAACUGCGGAUUGGAGCGAUAACUCAUCCCAUCAUCUCAGCGAAAAGCGGGAUGGUGAUGCUCAGCCCUUUUCUUAGGGAAAGGGUGUAGGAUCGAGUUCGUCAUCAUGCUGAUAGUUAUGCGGUCGCCUUCCCUUUUCCAUCACCGGAAAAGGGAAGGUAACUCAACGGGGCUUACUCUUGUUGUCGUCUC
rnacentral:RNase_MRP_RNA from 2 species